rnacentral:tRNA from 1 species
GUUUCUGUGGCGCAAUCGGUUAGCGCGUUCGGCUGUUAACCGAAAGGUUGAUGGUUCAAAUCCAUCCAGAAACG